GUUGGAGAACGGCGCUCCUCGCAGGAUUUUUAGAUUUAAAUUAUCGUAGGCUUUUUACAGGUUAGUUGGCAUUAAUUAUGAUGAUUAUUUGCCUUUCGAAUGUUGCGAUUAAUGUAUGAAAACUCGAAAAUAAAGACGCGAUACUUACAGCCGUCUAGGGUAAACAAAUCACCGUUACUCGAACCUGAUCGUUAAUUAUUAUCGUCUGCUGGAUUAAUUGACAGUGUUGCCAUCGAGAAAAAAAAUGACGAUUUCUCGCACCAUCUGACCUAGAUGUCAUCGGCUUUUUGCCAGGAAGGUGUGUAAAUAAUCCGUUCGAAGACCUUGUUGCUAAUUCGCGAUUAUUUUUACGGAACCAUAGCGUGACAUACUUAAAACGGAACCCAGUGGCAGUAAGAUGUCCGAAAAAUUUCGUUAUUUUGGUGACUAAUGCGCAAAAUCGUUAGAAAUUUAGGCCUAGGAUGCGCUUGAACGUUCUUGUUGAAAAUCUAGUGAUGGGUGGACCGAAGAGGAACGGAUGUACUUCGUACCACACAGUUUCGAAUUUCGCGUUUGGUCGGAUAAAGUACCAACCGGAGCGAAGGUUAGCGUGCGGUCUUCCUACCUUUACAAACUAUAUUAGUAUGACGUUGAAGUUAAAAAGUCGGUCUGUGCAGUACGUCCGAGAAAAAGGAAAAUGUUUCCGGGAAACACUCCCGGAACGACCAAAAAAUAAUACGUGUGACGCACCCGUACGAAGAAGUUAAGAGUACAACGACCCUUCCGUCUUUCUCGGAUAUAGACCGAAAUGACGUCAUGUCCGACCAGGCGGUCGUCCGAUCGGAUUUUUUUCUUUUUUAGUCCGCCCGUAUUGUUUAGGAAUUAGGUCAGAAAAUGUUGGAGACUACAAAGAAAUCGGACAAUGAGUAGGCUUGUGCUGUAAACAAUACUGGUUUCGUGCAUUCGAAGGUCGGUAUAAUUGCGAAAAGUCUUGUUUUAAUCCCAAGUGAAAUUUGUCUUUGCGGAUUAUUCGGAGCUUUUGUUUUAAUAAGUAUGCAUCAAAAAAUACAUACCGUACCUUUAUUGUGGAAACAUUUAUGGAAAACAAUCGCAUUUGCAACCAAGCAUUUCUUCGAUUUAUAAUGGUGGUGGAACUGGAUGAAUUCUUUCCACCGAGGUAAAUUUUCCUUAUUAGAUCUCUCUCGGUGCAUUGUUCAGAUCGUAAAGUCGGUCAGGCGUUUUAAACGAGAGUUUAAAACUUCAAUGUAUGAGAUAUAUACAAUAAGAAUUCGUUCGAGUGAUUUUUCUGAAAAAGUUCCGAUAAGACAACUUUCUUUACAUUUCUGUUGCUUGUUGAUUUUCAUUUUUAGAUUGCUUUGUAUAGUUUUAAUAUAAAAUUCUUUAAAUGCGAAUAUUUCAAAUUGAUUUUAUACGAGAAACGGGUUUAAUGUAAAAAUUUUUCGCUGUUGCAUUCGCAUAACUUAUUGCACUAUUGGAAUAUAAAUAAAAAAACUUUUGUUUCAACUGGUGUUUAUUGGAGAACAGUUCUGUGUGAUGCAACAAUAUUAAAAAUGAUAUAAUAAAUUAUUUUACUCGAUAAAUAUCUUACUUUAGAGGAAAUUUCGGAGAUGUUUGCGUUUGUUACCCGAGCACGUUGUUAUCGCGCUAAUCAUCUGGGAGGAUGUUACUAAACGAACGUCAUCGGAGCGGUAGAUAUCUGGUUGAGCUAUUACUGCUAGCUUUACUGAUUAUUUUUACUUCAGUGUUUUCUCCUUGAAGAACUCGUCAGGUUUUCUUUCUGAAAAUUUGUUAUCGCGCUAAGGCGUUUUCUGUUCUAAAAGUUUUAUUUCCGAAAUAAACAGAAUGGAACCGAAUAGGGUGAAAAUGUUUUGUACUACCCUCCGACAUAAUUCACAAAAUAUAGGUUAUAUCUUCCGGAUGAAGUGUAACAUACGUUAUAUUCUGUGAAGAUUUUCUCCGAGAAAAUGAUAAAGAUUAAAAUAGGAAUUAAAACAUGCCGAUACGCAACUUUCUGAGAACUAUCUUUUUAAUCUGGAAUCAAAAGAGAUUGCAGCAUAAUAUUGUUGUCGCUGUAAUGCCGAUAUCAACCACGUGGAUUGAGAUGCGAGGAGAAUUAUUAUUUUUUCUUCGUGUUUUAUCGACGAUAAGAAACAAACUGAAUUAAUUAUCCUUCGAUUUAGAAUUAUAUCAGACUUUUAGAAAUAGUUUCUAAUCGAUCUGUUCUGUUUAGCCAAUAUCGAUGCAUAAAACUUCGAUCCGAGAUCAAGGUCGCGAAUUGGGGUUAACUGAAACUUAAAAAAUCUGUUCAAUAAAACAAGUUACAGAUUUAUUUACUAUUCAUUAAAAGAACCAAACGGCCGUUCGAUUAAUUAAAGUAAGUUUUAUACAUACGUUUAUUUCGAGCCGUAACCUCUUUCUGACGUGUUUAUUAUUAUUAUUUUUUUCUUAUAAACACCGCACUAAAAAUAACUUCGAUUAUUAACCCGUAAUUAUAUAUAUAAAAAUGUGCGAUUUAUCAACGCCUCUCUUUUGUUCCGUUCUGGGAGCGACUACUACAGUACUUUACUAUAGGCUACGGCGUCGCAACUUAACGUUUGAAUCGGGUAUUUCCCACGGGUUAGCGACCCGCUUUUAGUUAAUAGACGGGUUCAAUUUUAUUUAUAGACAAAUGACCGAUUAGGGAAAAUUAUUAACUACUAUAUGUACACCAGAUUGAUUUGUGACGUCAAUAUCGAUAAUCCAAUUUUAGUUAAACGCUCUUUCCUGUGCAGUUCGAAGGAUGGUGACGGUACAUAGAUUAAUUGAGUCCUCUCGUAGCCUAUUUUCGUCGCCAAUAACUUAAUAGCUAUUAGUAAUGAAGGAAUUUUUCCAAAUUUAAGUCAUUUUUCCUCUUCGUAUUGUAUGGUGAAUCGAAUAAAAAAUAAAUAAAUAAAAAUAAAACAGGGCUAAUUAAGUUUAUCUACCUGAUUUGUUACGUAAUUAUAGACCCGGAAGAUUUCACGUUCCAGACUUUCUUACACGAAUUCUGCAAAUAACAAAUAGGUUGUGGAUAAUAUAAAAUUAAUACAUCAUCAUCUUUUUGUUUCGUUUUGCGGUAGCCAUAUUAACUGUGUUACAUAAGUGAUUUAAGGUUGGCUUUUUAAUUAUGGUAGACUUUAGCCAUUCGGAAAUUAGAGAUGUUGCAAAAAUAAGGUAUCGUAUUAUUUGCGUGUUUAUGUAUCGAGUGUCCGAUAUACUAUCAAUGAAUUAUUAUAUGGCGGAGGAGGCUUUCGAAAUUUCUAAAGAAUUUUCCGUUAGCCGCUUACAAGAUAGAGAUUUUACACGGAAGUCAUGCCUGGUUUAUUCUCUGAAAUUCGUAAUUUCCUUUUCUUUCGGAUUUACUAAUAGUGAAAGAAGGAAAAAAAUAAGAAAAGCCUUUUUUUGACGCAAUCGUUAUUCUAUUUAAAUCUUCGAAGUUACUAAUUGCCAGAGUAUUUUCGAAUUUUCUGUGACACAUCCGCGUUUUCCGAUCGAUUCACCAGGUGAUAACUAGGUCACGUGACUAGAUUUAUAUUUAUUUAAUUUUUUUUUACGGUCCGACAGACAUUUAGUCGAAUGUGUGUCUAGCACAUAACAGUUUUAAUGCCUCUCUCGACCCAGUGGGAAAGGCAGUUGCGUCAACAUUUAGCGUACCAUUUAGCUUUCUUUCAAUUCCCCACGCGGCUCAGAAAAGCACGAUUAUCCUUCACUCCUUUUCAUGUAGGCUACCGAUAACAUCAAAACUAAUGGCUAUUGCUGACCUUAAUCCGAUUAUAGUUCAAUUACGUUUCUAAUUUUAAUUUCAUUAGAUAGUUUGUUGCUUUUUUGCUUUAGUUGUUAUUUAUUUCGAUGGCUUAUGUUUUAAAUUCGCGUUAAAACGUGCGUCUUUGUUGUAUGUACGUGAGUUUAAAUUAAGUAAAUUUAAUGUUUUAUAUAGAUUCCAAUUCUGUUAACUGUCAUGUUAAAGAAAGCCAAAAAAUAGUCAUAAAUAUUCCAUAAAUAACCGAGUGUCGGUUUGUCACCCUCUAGCGCAAUAAAUGUUUCCAGUCGAGUGCAAUAAUAUAUAUAAAUCCGAACCAUGACCUCUAUUCCCAGAACUAAUUUAUUAUGUACGGCCAUACAAUUAAAUACCGUAUUCGAUACAACGAAUGAUUUUUAAAAAUUUUUUUAUACAGUAUUUCAAAUUUCUCAAAGCCAUUUCUUAAUAUCAUAUCGGAUGGUCGCAUCCUUGACACUUGGUCUACUCCAUCACGCUAAGACAAUACAAAAUGAAGUUUUCCCGACAUAAUAUUAUUAUUUAUCGCCAGCACUGCCAAGACGAUAUAUUAUUGGAAGGUGACCAAGUCGUGUCUUCUCGUCACGUUUUAUGUUUUUGAUUCGAAGAUGAAAAGCGAAUGCUACUUUCGCUUGACCGUGAAAUCUUUUUUCGGUCGCAUUUGACGUCACGUUUUCACGUCAUUCGAUACAGUACGUUAAAAAGAAAACCGGAUAUCGAACUUUUACCAAUAUCGAUAACAGUUUUAAUACGAAAUUUUCUUCGAUGCCAAAACACGAGAUGACGUCAAGGCAUUUAUGUCUGGGACAUUAAUUUCCUCGGCGUGGAUAUUUUACUUUUAAAACGUCCUUGGUCUUAUUUAAAUAACUUAAUUCUUUUUAAAAGGUACGCUCGAUAAUCGGCUGCAGGCGACGUUUUAACCAAUCAAUUUAAAAAUAAUCAUCGGUUACGUCUACUCGUUAUGAUUAAUUUAUGAGCUUUAAAUAUUUUUAUCGGCAAAAUCGAAAGUCGACUGCGACGGUAAGUCAGGCUAUAAACCUUUGUAAUAUGUAUCACACAGAACAUUAAACGGCGCCAGUCAAAGUCCCACACACAAUGAAAAAUUGUAACGUCGAAUUUUAAAAUAAAAUUUUCCUGCACUCGCAAAUAUUGUGUGAUGAAAGCGCCGGACAUUUACACGCUUUCAUAAAAUUCCAAUUUAUAUUAUUACAUUAUUUAACCGUAAUAAUAUCGACGAUAAUUUUUAACUUUAUAGUUUUUCGAUUGGAGAAAGAUAUUAAAAGUCAGAUAGGUCGGCAACGAGAUAAGAUUCUAGGAGUUUUGUUUUUUAGUAAAGUAUAUAAAUUAUUGUUCUGUUGUCGUCAAGUCUCGUAAAAAUAUAUGACAUUUAAUGAUUCUAACAAAAUAGAUUGUUAUUUAUUAGCCGAAAAUAUUAUCGAGAACUGAUGCAACUUUUAUUAUUCGAAUUAAAAUGAAUUAUCUCCCCGUGACGUAUUUAAAAAAAAAAAAAAAUAUGACGACCGAGUUUAACGAGAUCGGUUUGUUGUUCUGACACGAGAGAGCAUCGGCGAUUGUUUCGCAAUCUUAUAAAUAAAUUAAAAUGUUAUUUUGACAUGUAUGUGUUUUCAUAGGAUCUCCGAUACAUAACUAUAACGAGCGAAUUGUUUUUUGACGUCUUUUGUUAAAGUAUUCUAACAUUAAAAUAUCUUUAUCAUCGUGAAGAAAACAGUUUCUGGAAAUCACCUUUUAAAUAAUUGUUGAAUAAUUCUUUCGUAAACUUUUAUAUAAAGUACGCGCAUAUCGAAAAACUUGCUGCCAUUUACAAAAUCUUAUUUAUAGAUAUUUUCUUUUUUUUUAAUUAAUUAAUAAAAAAUAUACAGUGUUUUGUUUUGAUAUAAAUUAUGCGCUUCAGCGAUUUUCCACCUCCCAAAGAUCGGUUACAAUUUUUGCCUCAUUACUAAUGGACAGAAAAUUAGAAUUAGCAUUAUCAUCGGUUUUUAUUUGUUCAUUGACCUAGUAGCCUAUAGUUAGAACCGCUUUGUCGAUGAUUUAACAGAAAAAAAAGAAACAUUAUACGACAAUUUAUUGUUACUCAACACGACAAUUUUAUGAUUCUGUAAACUUACAUCAUUUAUGUUAAAUCUAUUAUUUCAGUUAGAUUUUUAAAUGGUUCUUUUAAUUUAUAAAAGACGAUUUAAAAACUUGUCGAAAGAACAAUAUUAACAUUAGGAAACAAAAGCUAAAAAAAACACCAUUAUACAUUUUAUCUUAUCGACGUGAAAGCUGAUAUGUGAGAAUACGGUUCCGAUGAUAUAUGGUAAAGGUCGAGCGAUACGCGUUAUUGUUACCACCAUUUUAUUAUUAAUAAAUGAUCCGCGAUUUAUCGUCACGUGCCUUAAUGUUAAUUGCGUAAUUCUAUUUAAUGUAGUUGUAUUAUUAUUUUUAAACAAGACUUCGAUUUAUUAUAGAAGAUAUGUUAUUGUCAUCGUUCGCAUUGUCGUCAUUAUUUUCAGUCCGCAUUCAUUUUACAUUCCUGUCCUUUCAAGCGUAAAUUGAAUAUAACUAGGCAACGGCAUAGGGAUUUCAAAAAAUAAUUUCAGACUUAAUCAUAAUAUACAAUUUUACAAUUCACUUGUUUCUGACAAUCACUAAUACGGCUGAAAUCAUUUUUAUGGAAUGUCGUA
rnacentral:lncRNA from 1 species